GCGAAUCAUCGAAUUUUUGAACGCAAAUUGCGCCUUUUUCGGAAGGCAUGUCUGUUUGAGUUCACCAUUUAACAAAUAAUGUGCAGCGUUUUUUGCUGCACACGUUGAUGAGCUUUCCAAGAAUUUUAAAUUUUUGGUGGCGCAUAAUUAACAUCGUGAAAGUUUUUCUCAGUUCGAUCGUAGUAUAAUCUUUGAUUGGGUUGUGAUAAUAUAUAAUCUUGCA
rnacentral:misc_RNA from 1 species